rnacentral:rRNA from 1 species
AUACGGAGGAUGCAAGCGUUAUCCGGAUUUAUUAGGUUUAAAGGGUGCGUAGGCGGACUUGUAAGUCAGCGGUGAAAUACUACAGCUUAACUGUAGAACUGCCGUUGAUACUGUGAGUCUUGAGUAUAGUUGAGGUAGGCGGAAUGUGUAGUGUAGCGGUGAAAUGCUUAGAUAUUACACAGAACACCGAUUGCGAAGGCAGCUUACUAAGCUAUAACUGACGCUGAGGCACGAAAGCAUGGGGAGCAAACAGGAUUAGAUACCCUGGUAGUCCAUGCUGUAAACGAUGAUCACUCGCUGUAUGUCCGUUAGGGUAUGCGGCUGAGCUAAAGCAUUAAGUGAUCCACCUGGGGAGUACGGCGGCAACGCUGAA